AUUGAACGCUGGCGGCAUGCUUACACAUGCAAGUCGAACGGUAACAGGUCUUCGGAUGCUGACGAGUGGCGAACGGGUGAGUAAUGCAUCGGAACGUGCCCAGUCGUGGGGGAUAACGCAGCGAAAGCUGUGCUAAUACCGCAUACGAUCUAUGGAUGAAAGCGGGGGAUCGCAAGACCUCGCGCGAUUGGAGCGGCCGAUGUCAGAUUAGCUAGUUGGUGGGGUAAAGGCCCACCAAGGCGACGAUCUGUAGCUGGUCUGAGAGGACGACCAGCCACACUGGGACUGAGACACGGCCCAGACUCCUACGGGAGGCAGCAGUGGGGAAUUUUGGACAAUGGGCGCAAGCCUGAUCCAGCAAUGCCGCGUGCAGGAANAAGGCCUUCGGUUGUAAACUGCUUUGUACGGAACGAAAAGGUCUGGGUUAAUACCCUGGGCUCAUGACGGUACCGUAAGAAUAAGCACCGGCUAACUACGUGCCAG
rnacentral:rRNA from 1 species